rnacentral:misc_RNA from 1 species
UUUAAUAUUGAAGUUUGAUUGCACGUAAGAUUUCAAUAUUUUUGGGUAAACGUUCGGUCUAAAAGAGACUCAAACAUUUUACAAGCGGCAUAUGUACUAUAAAUCAUUAUAUGCUUCUUAUGUUGAUGAUAAUUUGACCGGCUGUUACGGCUUUAGUGCUUUUUUCAAGAGAAAAAUACUUGGCCUGAAAAUAUGAACUGAUACUGAUUUGUGACUGUGGCGAUGCCUUAAUGUUAGGUCAACUGCUUCAGUCUAAACAAAAAAUCCAAUUUAAAUUUACUUGGUAUGUAUGAAAGUAUACUGUAACUUCUUGCAUUCAGUUGUGUCUAUGCAAUAUUUAUCUUGUACAAGUGUAAAUUGGCCAAAUGCUAAUAAUUUGUCUAUUUUGCUUGAUAAAUAACAAUUUUUUUUUAUUUUACAGUUAAAGAAACAUAUCCUAUAUGCAUUUAUAUUUAAAUUUAAAUUGUUGAUGUAGAAAUAGACCAAAAAGAAAUGUUCGUUUUCAGAUUAUGUACAAAUAACAAGAAAAUUGAUGACGUGUGCCAAACUUUCAGAAAAGGAAAAGCUUAAAAUAUUGCUUUAAAGUAGCUAAUGUCAAAUGCUUUAGACUUGACAAUGUCAACCAUACACACAUCAUAUUCAUUAAACAUGUGAAUACUUGUUCAUAUGGUAUUUUAUAAUACAAACAUAAUAUUAAUUAUUUCCUUAAAACAAUUUUAGUUAUUUAUUGAGAAAUAAGGUUUUUCGGUUGCUAAGGAAUCGGGAUUAAUUUGCUUUUAUCCCCGAGUUAAACUGGUUCCCGUCUAAUCAAUGCAGAACUUUUGGGUAUGUGUAGUGAGCCGAGAACAUGGCUUACUGUUCGAUAUAAAAGCAAAAAUCCCGUGCAAAAUCUUCACUGUAUUUCUACACGUCGUUCAGUAAAGUUUAACUUGCACUGUUCUACACGUCGUCAAUACACCGUAAUUAGAAACGUCUUUGAGAUGCUACGUGAAAGGGUUAGGCACAGACAGCGAGGCCGGGAGAGGAACGAUGGUGUUCAAAGGCAGAAUGCAAGAGCGAAUCGCCAUGAUGACCAGCAGGAAAACCGCCCAAGGACGAGGGGUCAGAAACGUCAGGCGGAUAAAAUGGCUAGAGACGAGGUUCAGAAUCCAAAACCACAUGACCAUGAGACGGGGGCAGACAAAUUAGAGACAGGGGGAAACAGACUCCUACAGGAUGAUGCCGGCUGGCGAGCGGGCCAAAACAACAGGGAAGGCUAAUCUGCGUCUGGAUGGCAGGACGAUCGCCUGGUGGGGCGUGAGGGGUCUGCGAUGGAGUGGUUUUUGACGCACAGUCCAAAACCAGGUGUUGCUGUCUCCUCCUCCUUCUGCCAUUGUUAUUCACUUAGGAUCGUUCAUAUUAUGACGUUUGUUGAAAUUGUCAGUGAGCUGGUAGUGCAACGUUAGGACGUCUCCGAUAUCCAAUUACAAACACAUCCAAGGAAGUUACGUUAGAACAUUUGGUUACACAGAAACUAAGUGUAAGGAACUUCCAGGUACUGUAAAUGUUACCUGGCGACACAAAAUUACACAUCGAGAUUACUGGCGUUGUGAUAGGGCAUGACGGUAGUGGCAGGUUUCCUGAUUGGUACCUUGAAUACGUUUCAAUAUAUGUAGAGAAUAUGGAGGAAUAUUACGUCUUUAGGCAUAAUGACUGGGUGGAGGCGGAAAGAGAUGUUCUUUUGCCUAGACAAGGACCUGAUCAACAAACUUGCAUCGAUUCAUUUGAUAGUGGUCAUGACUGGUUGCAAGAAUGGAAUUCUUUAAAAAGAAAAGACAUGUAUAAAACUAGCAGAGGUCUAGAAAUGUCACUGAGAGAGUGUAAACAAGUGUCAUGCAGUGUAAUGCAGUGAGGUAUCGCAACAAACAUAAAAGUUGCUAUGGUUUUGCUGUAUCCGAUGCAUCCUAUUUUUCGGAAGGACCUAAAUCAUGGGAUUCACAAGUGUAUUUACGAACAUGCAAACAAUUUAAUUGAAAGAGUUAUAGCGUAGUGAGAGAUUGUUAAUGAAAUUAUUCUUUAAUCAUGAAAGUAUUUCUGUUGUUUUAUACCAAUGGCGAUGAUUAUACAGUUUAUAAUUAUUUGCUACUUAAAGAUAUAUUAUGCCCUAAGUUCAAAUUUGAAACAUUAAUCAUAACUUUACUGUAAAUACUGUAAAUUUAAAGAAAUAGUUUUUUGUUUCAGUAUUUUGCGUUAUGUGUAAUAAAUGUAUAAGUGAACACAGAAUGAAUAUGUAAAAUCAGAAGUCAUUUGUUGUAGAUGAAGAUGGGAAUAUCCGUUCGAGGGUAUCUAUUUUGGCGGUAACGAGGCUCUGCCAGUCUGGUGUACAGUGUUAUGGCAUUUAAUGUUUUGCGACUACAGCUUUGUAGAGAUAAUACACGUUUUUUUCUGUGUAUAAACGUCUGCAUAAGCCCGCGGGAUUGUUUGUGACCGAGACCGAAGGUCGAGGUCA